UUUAUUCGAUGUUAACUAUUAGUAUUCUAUCCGCAAACAUCCCCUUUCUUUAGGGAUGUAUAUAAGUGCUGAGAACCAGAGCCAGUCAACUACAAUCCUCUUGGUGAUCAUCUCUUGAAGAUCCAGCUCUCUCUCGUUCAACAAUGAAGGUCUUCAUCAUCCUUUCUCUAGCAGCUGCUGCUGUUGCUCAAAUAGCGGCACCAAUACAGUAUCAACCUAUUCCUUAUUCGUUUAACUACGUUGCCGAAAACGAAGACGGUGGAAGCAGUUCUCAUCAAGAAUCUGGGAGAUGGCGCAGGACGGGUGUCAGGAUCUUAUAGCGUCAAUGAUCUGGAAGGACACGCUAGAGUUGUCGAGUACAUUGCUGACGAAAAUGGAUUCAGAGCCAAUAUCAGGAGCAAUGAGCCAGGCAUAUAAUCAGCGCCGCUCCCGCUGAUGUCGUGAUUGAAUCUUCUGGUGGUUCUUCUGGAGCCGUAGCCCCUGCCGCCGCUAGGGUAAAUUCCGCACCGAUUGCUGCCCCAAUUAUCCGCUCAGCUCAACCUGCCGCUCAACCUGCCUCCAGAAGUGGAAUCCGUUACGUUUUGGUCCCUGAAAGUGAUCCUAGAGCUGCUGGUGGAAUCCCGAUCUAAACAUUGUAGCAGCUUCAUGUGAUGAUACGUUUUCGAACUGGGAACUGAUGAAAAUAAUUCCUAAAAAUGUUUUCUAACAACUACCUCAGACCUCCAAUAGCAUCAUGUUUUAUACUGUAAUUAAAUUGUGUUUUUAUUAAAAAAAAAUUCUAUUUAUUUUCGUCGAAGAAUUUUUC